CACUACACACACACCUCACUCUCAUCCUGCAGCCAAUAAGGACCUGAUGAGCUCAAGUAUCACUAUAACACAAGGACUUAUUCUCUGAGCCGAGGCUGCAGAUUCUUACAGACCUUCAUCCUCAUCGUCCGAGGAGCUUCUCUCCCUCUCUGAGGUGUGAAGUUUGCUGUCGCCAUGUCUGACACUGAAGAACUGGAUCAGGUCGAGGG